GGGUCUGUGGCUCAGUGGAAGAACCUCUACUUGGUAUGCAAAAGGUCCCAGGUUCAAUUCCCAGCAUUUCCA
rnacentral:tRNA from 1 species